CAGGGCCAAGCAGCGACUGGGGAGGGCUGCAGAGUUCAGACGGGAAGCUGCCCCUCCUGCAGAGUCCCCACCUCCACCUCACACGCGGAGGAUCACCUUUGCACUGGGCUCAAAGCUCCAGAGGCGGCAGUUUCCCAAAAGGCAGAUGAUGGGGAAACUUUACAUAUGACGGCCCAGAGGGGCUGACUCUGUCGGAGAUGGAGUGCUAGGCUCUAGGUCACCUAGACAGCCUCAGAACGUGGGAGCCAGAGACUCCUGAGGGCCCUGUGCUCACCGGGCCCCCAACUUUUCCCUCGGCUCCCGACUGGACAUCGUGGUCACCCUGCCUCUCGGCAUGAGCACAGCCUGCAUUCUUUGCCCACCGUCUACCUGGGCAGAAGCCUACGGCUCCCUCCCUGCGGCCUGGACACCGGAAAUCACCCACCAUGAAUGCAGACAGCUGCUCGUCUUCACAGGAGCCAGCCAGCAGGCCCUCGGGGGGCUGGGCAGGUGCCCAGAGGGACCACCGGAGGGCGGUCCCUGCCCACUGAGGAUCUGGGCUGGGUGGACUCCUGCCAUGGACACCAGGCUCAGGUGGGCUUGGUGGACUCCAGCCAUGGACACCAGGCUCAGGUGGGCUGGGUGGACUCCUGCCAUGGACACCAGGUUCAUGAUGGGCUGGGUGGACUUCUGCCAUGGACACCAGGCUCAGAACAGGCUGGGCUGGGUGGAC